CCUGCAUCGGCAGGCGGACUCUCAACCACUGGCCCACCAGGGAAGUUCUAUGCUUUUUGUUUUGUUUUUAGUAAUUCUUUCUACCUGCUACAACCUAACCAUGCUAUCUUCAAGGCUAACUUUUUCAAUGUCUUCCAUAAGGCGAUCACAGAAAGCCGAAUGUUCUAAUGGAAUCAAGGUAUUCUAUAUCCAUAGCAAUUUGCUUUUUGGCCGAGCUGCACGGCUUGCGGAAUCUUAGUUCCCCGACCAGGGAUCGAACACGGGCCCCCUGCAGUGGAAGCGUGGAGUCCUGAAUUGCCAGGGAACAGGGAAUUCCCUAUCCAUAGUAUUUCUAUGAUCUGACAGUCCUGUCAAAGAAGAAAGGACUUAUUUGGCCUGAGUUGCUAAUAGUAAGUUACAAUUUUUUUUUUAUCCUUGAAAAAAGGGUAGUCAGUAUUCAUUUUAUUAUCAUUUCCAGAUAGAUGAAAAAGAAUUGUAAAGCAUUCCAAAUCUCUCAAACAUUUCGGUAUAUAUUUCUACAAGUUUCUAAAAACGUCUAGACGUAUGUAUGCCAAAAAAUUCAUAAAAAUGCCAUCAUACCUAAAUACUCUUUUAUCUGCUUCUUUAACUUACUAAUGUUUUGUGAAUAUCUUCACAUAUGAAUAAGUGUACAGCUAAACUAUUUUGAUUGGCUGUGUAGUAUUCCAUUAUCAGGACACCUAUUCAACAGACCCUACAUUACUGGAUUCCAAUUUUUUUGCCUUUAUAAACCUUGCUACAUAAACCUGUUAUGAACGUGUCUUGUUCCUUCCCUGAAACAAGUUCAGGUCUUAUACUCUGCCUUUUCUAAGUAUCCUCUGAAUCCCCACAGUGUUUAUCUAUACUUCUCAUGUGAACCUAUUUCCAUUACAAAAAUUAUACACCGUCUUCUCCCUGCUUGUAGCCGCUAAGAUCCUUUAGGGAACAGUCCACCCCAAUUUAAUGCCUAACACAGUAGCUUGCACUUAGACACACUCCGUAAAUAUUUGUUGACUAAGGGCAUGAAUAAACGAAUUUAUUUAAUGAUUCAUUCUACAGUUUUGCUGGUGAUUAACAUCAUACUCGCUGGUUUCUAGUUCCCGAAGUCUGGUUUCUGCCCCAGUGGGGCCUGGUUUGCCCAUCUUCUGGUCCCUCGCCCAAUCUCAGGGAUGAGAGAAAGUGCAGCCAGGGUUGUGAGCUCCCCCCUCCCAUCCCCACGGUCCCAGGAUGGCGAUGGCCUUGCCCUGGGCUGACACGAGUUGAUUCAGAGCCUCCCUGCCCACUCUCGCGGUCGGUCUCCUCUCCUCUCUCGGACUUCAGGUCCCUAUUAGCCUCCCCUGGCCCUCCUUUCUUUCUGAAUUUGAUUGAGAAGCAGGUAAGCUUGGAGCAGGUCCGCAUGGCCUUGGGAGGCCAUCUGGGGAAGGGGUGAGGUUGUGGCUGCCUUGCGUGGCUCCCUCGUGAGAAAGAUACCCAAGCCUCUGCUCUUUAGGGCUUGGGUGAGACUGACAGAGUUUGGGGGUGGGCCAGGACACGGUAGGUGCUCAAUCAGGCAGUUUUCUCUCUCCUCUUCCUUUAAUGGACACAGUUCAGUCUUCUCCCCUAAGGACUGGGUCUGCCCCUGAGGGAACACUGUUGGUGAAGAGCCCUCCCUCCUUCCCUUCCUCCCUUCUCUCCUCAUCUUUUUGAAAUAUGACCUCAAUUCCCUAGAAGUGUGUUUUUUUUUGGCCUCGCCAUGCGGCUAGUUCCCCGACCAGGGAUUGAACCCCGGGCCCCGGCGGUGAAAAGCUCCAAGUCCCUAAUCACUGGACCUCCAGGCAAGUCCCUAGAAGUGUUUUCUUUCGUACCCCAGCCACCAGCACUCUUUUCUCAUAGAGCUCACUUGCGAUUAGAUCGUCUGAUCUGUGGAUUUUUUUUCCUACUUCAUGAUUUUCCUUGACCCAUUUUCACUCCUAGGGCCUAUAGCUUUUUUUGGGCCAGAGUUUCCCUGAACUUUUUGGAAAAACGUCCCCUAACGUCUAGGGAACCCAUCUGACAAAUCCCAGUGUCUCUCCCCUUAGCUGUCAUUAACCCAUAGGAAAUCACCUGCAAGUGACCCCCCCACAAUGAAAUUCCUUUCCUGGGGACUUCCCUGGUGGUCCAGAGGUUGAGACUCCACUCUCCCAAUGCAGGGGGCCCGAGUUUGAUCCCUGGUCAGGGAACUAGAUCCCGCCUGCAUGGCGUAACUAAGGAUCCUUCAUGCUGCGAUGAAGAUCCUGCAUGCCGCAGCUGAGACCCGGCGCAGCCAAAUAAAUAUUAAAAAAAAAAAAAAGAAAGAAAGAAGGAGAAUUCCUUUCCUGGAGCUCAAACGUCAGCCUCUUGACUGGAAUAAGGACCAUCAUCAUCCCCACCGCCACUGUGAUCCGUCAACUCAGCCCAAGAUUAACUGUUGAUGCUAUGUCUGGCUCUAUAAGGGGUUGCCUUUCUAAAUAAUGGCUAAGAAAGGCAACGUGAUCCAAUAUAACAAAAUCUACUGGGCACCGACUAUGUGACUAUGAACCGGGGAUUGGGGAGAGAAAAGAUAGAUGAGAAUUGGCCUUGCCCUCAAAGAGCUUAGAAUCUAAUGACUAAGAACUUAGGUUUGGAAUUGGAGAGCUUACAACCUAAAAUGAAGGAGCAAAAAGAUGAAUUGGGUAAAAUCAGGAUAGUUUUGUGUUUUAAAGAAUUUUAAAGCGGUGUUGCUUUCCCGUUUCUUCAUCAGGGGUAAGUAAUUUCCAGUCAUCCCAUCCAUUAAACAAAUAUGUAUUAAGAAAGCAAAACACAGGCCAAGAGCCUGCUGUGUGCAUGGCUGGAUGCACAAUGAGGCCGUCCUCAGGAGACUUGAGCUCUGCUCCGUGAGAAAAGCAUAAAACGGAGGGGACACCAAGGUCAGAGGGCAAGUGCCCAACCCUUGCCAGUGAGAGUCAUCUUGAGUUCCACUUGAGGGGCUCAGAGUUGGGUCAUCGAGGGUGGAAAGUUCUGGAAAAACCCUAAUACCCCUGUUGCAACAUUCUAGGAAAAAUGGUCCGUCUACUGAAUAAGGGUGAAUCAGCCGGGGAAGGUUUGGGGCUAUCAGCGCUGUCCCACGGCCACUUGUCCCCAGUCUUUGGUUCCCCAGUGAAGUUCCAGCUACCCUCUGGGGGCUGAGGGGAGGAGACGGUGAGCUCUGAUCGGGAAUUUCAAUGAGACAUAUGCAAAUGACCAGUGGGCUCUUCAGAGGAAGUUCUGAGAGGAGAGGGCUAUGGGCAGCUCAGCGCCCAUAACCCGCAAAGCAGAAGUGAGAGCCGUGCGAUUUCCCAGUCCUCUCUCCCCGUCUCACCCAGCCCUGCCCCCGUGGUGUGGGCCUCCUUCCCUCUCAGAAAUGAGACCUGUGACUUCUCCCCAGUUACCCAAGUCUGAGGAAAUGUUUGUCUUGAAAGGAAACUAGACUUGUAAGCCUCUUCUCAGCCCCAGAAUUGAGGAAUAGAUUUGGGGCACCCAGUGGGGCUGAGCAGGUGAAAGGAGGGGCAAAGGAGUAACCCCCCUCCCCCUCCCCCACCUUGAGCACCUACCAAGUAUCAGGCCAGGGAUCCAGGGCCCUCUGCAAGGUGUCCGCACCCUCACUGGCAGUGAGUGGCUGGUGGGACCAGGACCUGACCUUGCCAGCCAAGUUCCCACACACUCUGGCCCCAGGGCCACUGCCCCCCCGGACAGUAAGCCCCCUCAAGACUGGGCAAAUGCUAUUUUUCAGGAAACUAGGACACCACUGGGAGUAUUUCCGCUGCAGCUCUGGCCUUUGACACAGAUGCACAUCUGGAAAACGCGGCCUUCCUUCCCCACGGAGUUUUGAACGAGCAGUUCUGGAUUCCCAGUAACUUCCACUUGUAAUUAAUUGUCAAUUGAUUACCCGUUCACUUACACGUGUCAGUGUGAGGGCGCUAGCCUCUCUGUCAGGAAGUCAACUGUCUAUUGACGAGUGAGUCAAAGCAUCCGGUGGGUUACUUAUUCAUGAGCCAGGGUGCCCAUGUAGCUGGGUUUCCCUCACCUGUUCCAGCUUGCCCUGAAAGAUGGAAGUAAAGGGCCCUGGGGAGAAAGUGCUUUCCUGACUCUUCCUGGGCCCAUAUUUGAACCACACUUUCUUCCCUCGCUCGCUCUCUCUCUCUCUCUCUCUCUCUCUGUCUCACACAUGAUUUCCAUCCUAGGUCUGGUGGCUUUUGGCCUGACCUUUUACCCAUAUCCCACAGUGUUAACCCCGGCCAACCCAAGGUGUAAACAUGAGAUGGCAGCAUAAAGCACUGGCAGUAAACUGUAGACCAUAUUCCUUUUCUUUUUUUUCAAGAUGACUUUUAUUUUACUUUAUUUUCUGGCCACGCCACGCAGCAUGUGGGAUCUUAGUUCCCCGACCAGAAACUGAACCCGUGCCCCCUGCGUUGCAAGCGCGGAGUCUUAACCACUGGACCUCCAGGGAAGUCCUGUAGACCGUAUUUCUUCUUCUGGGGAGUGAGGCCAGGGGGAGACCAAGGCCAACAGCAUUCUCAUGCAGUCCUUGUCUGUUUCCCACUGAACCCUCCAGAGACCAGCAGGGAGGGCCGCUGAGACCAGAGAGCAGAGUCCUGGGCAGGCUGACUCAGUUGCUCGAAUCCUCCCUCCAAGGCCAAGAACACCUGUGAUCCUGGAUCAGGACAGCUUUCUCCUCCCAGAGGAAAGCUCGGACCCCUGCCAUCACCUCGCCGCUGAAUCCUGUCAGGGGUCAAGCAUUUGGUGGGUUUCCAUUGGGCGCCACCGACUCUGCCGGAUUUUGUGAUGAAUGUAAAAAACUGGAAGAUCCAGUGCCUGGUGCAGAGUAGGCAUUCAAUAAGUUAUCAUCGAAGGAAUGAAUAAGAGAGUUCUUCCUUCAGAGAGUUCAUAGUCCAGCCUGGAGGAAACUGGCAACCACCAACGAGAGGCAGAAUUGGAAGAGGGAGAAGGGCUGUCUGGGCUGGUGGGAUAACCCCAAUGUGAAACGGGCUCACAGGUGAGCACAGGUGUGAAGCCUAUGGUGGGCAGGUAAGGAGACCACCUUGAUGGGAGGAAGUAAGUCUCCCAGUGUGGGGUGGAGCGGGUGGGCGAGUUGAAGACAAUGAGCUUUCCUCUAGGGUGAGAGUCUGAAUGUAUUGGAAGCGGCUUAGAGGAAAGUGCCGCGGGAACCAGUGUGCAUCCUACGGGGAAGGGCUGUGUGCGUGACGUGAGGAUGAAACCAGUAUGUUUAGAAGAUGAGCCUGGCAUGGAAGUGCCUGAUGGGGACACACCAAACUUCUUGAAGUUCCCCAAAGCCUUCUUUUCCCUUUUUUGGCCAUCUCCCUGUUUCUGAUCAUUAGAAUGCCCCGCUGUCCCACGCCUGCCAAGGGAACACCUGCUGUUUCCCAUCACCAGAGUCACCUCUUCUGGGAAACCACUGUAGGUCAUUUCCUCCUGGGGGCCUCCAGAUGUACCCUGUAUACCAUUUUAUUUUUAUACUCAUUCCUUUUUAGGAUACUUAUUGGUUUUCACGUCUGGUUCCCCUUUCAGACUAAGUCUCUUGAAGUCUGAAUGUUUCCUGGUUGGCAAUGAUCUCUCCAGCAUUGGUCACAGUGCCCAGAACAGGGCUCCCACCUGCAUUGAUAUCACCUGGGGCACUGGGCAGGUUUUCCACCUUUCUCUAAGGCUGGGCCUGAUUAUUACAACGAAUAGCAGCUGUGAUCGUAUUUACGAGGAGAGCGCGCAGUUUUAGUAUUCAGAGCCCUGGCUUCAGAUGAGAGCCGGGGGCCUCUGAUUCUCUCUGCAAUGCAGCCUUCCAGGCCACUGCUGUUGCUUAAGGCUGUGCUGCAAUCCGGAGCACUCAGGAGUGGGAAGUCCAGAGUUCUCCCCACUUCUGGGAACAGCCCUCCAUCCCCCUCCCUGCGCCAGCUUCCACAGGCAGUCCUCAUGACAGUGGGUCAGGCUAACCCAGGGUUUCACAAAUGCCUGGCCUGUUCCCAGCACAGCACAGCUGGGAGGGCUCAGCACUGGGGGAAGGAGCACCGUCCUCCUCCCCCUGCCAUCCUCAGGCUGGGGCCCAGGGGCUGGAGCCCAGCAGAGGGAAGGGCUGCACUUGUCUGCACUUGCCCCAGUGCGGGCAGUGAUCCUGGGCCUUCCCUCCCUGCUAAUUUCCCAGCUCUGGCUUAGUCAAGUUUCAAGGAGGAUAUUCCCUUUCCUGGGAAGUGAGGAGGAUCCAGGCUUGUCUUCCCCAAAGGAAGCGAGUGGUCUCAGAGUCACCUGAGGAGGUGUUGCGUAUUGAGAUUCCCCACUCUCCUAGGGGCUUCUGAUUCAGAAAAGCUGAGCUUGGAGUCCGGGAAUCUGCAAUUUCAGCCACUCCCUGGGGACUAGCCGCAGGUGGUUCUUUGGCUUUCAUGAGCCUUGGGAGGGAGGCAGCUCUGGGAGGUGAGAAGGGUUGAGCCAAAAAAAGCCCUGUUUUCUCAGGUAGGACCUCCGGCUCUCUCUAAUGAGCUCCAUGACUCUGGAAUAACUGCCCUUGUAAUCCAAGUCUCACUUUCACUAUCACUGAAAUGGAUGUGUGACCCGAGGGAAGGGUGAUCAAAUGCCCUGGACAUUCAGGGCUACUAACCCAGGACAAGCUGGUCACCGUACCUGAGGAUGAGACAGGACUGUGGAUGUUCGAGGUACUGGAAAUGUGACUUAAAGAUGAGUCUUUGCGGCACAAA